CUGGCCAGCUGCUUCCUCUACGCCUCCUCCAGAAGCCAACCGACAUCUCCAUGACAGGGCUGCCGGUUUAUCCUGGCGCAGAUGACUGAGGAGAGACCAAGGCAGAUGCUGCCUCAAUGAACUAGCCUUCAAAGCAAAUACUAUUUGUGAGGAACAUUAAAGGAUGGACGAUGUCACAGAGAACAAUUCCUUUGGGAGCAUGGAACCUUCAAGUAUUAAAACCAAGGAAUUACCACCUAUGAUUUUCUAUAUUUCACGGGAGGACAACUGCGAACGUGGGGAUAGAGCUAUGUGACCUGACAUGGCAGCUCCACCCUGUAUCUCUCUGGGGCAGUCACAGUGGUCUGCAAGUACGUAAAGAGGACUUUGCUUCCGUCAGUUUACUGCAUGAUAGCUGCUGCAGAGCCCCGAGAAGAGCACUACGGUGUGGUUGGGAUUUGCUGUUGUUCUCUCUCUCCCUCCCUCCCUCCCUCGUUCUCCUUCCCUCUCGAUAGGUUCUCAGAAAUCCAGGCUGGUCUGGGACUGACCUUGAACUCUUGAUCCUCCUGCCUCCACCUCCAAACUUCGGGAUUCUAGGUAUGUGCCCUGUGCCUGGCUUAGCAGUUUAUCUUCUUUAAAGUUAAAAAAAAAAAAAAGUCACAAGACUGGAAACUUUAUGAAGGUUCUGCCCAGAAUUAGAUAAUCAUUUACUCAUCACUACGGGGGAUAAAGUGAGAGCUUAAUCCUUACUUCUGCUUUCAAGGAACUUAUGAACCAGAAAGGAAGAGAAUGGAGAGAUGAACUCUAGCGCGGAGGUGUCAAGGGCUGUAGUCACAGGGCCAAAUGAGGGCACUACAGAGAGGUGAUUGGCCUCACUGGAGGUGUCAGGGGAAAUGUUCCAGGCAGAAGAAUCUAUUCCUAGCUAGGCUGGCCACGCAGUUUGUGGGGCCCAGUAGCUGAAAAUGUUCAUUCACCCAGAGACUAUGAAGACUCAAAAAAUAACAGCAAAUAUGGGCACUUCAAACCGAAGUUCCUUCCUCUGAAAGCUGUAGCACCCACAGUGGGAAAAUGAGCCCAGCCCGGCCUGGGCAUCAGUGCUAUUCGUCUCUUUUGAAGCAUUUUUAUAAUCUAAUUACAGUCCAAGGGAAUAGAUUUAAGUCAAUUUGGUGUGGUCCUGGUAGUUUUGGGGGGAACCGAGGACAUUGGGAAGG